CCCGCAUGUCUCCUGUCCAUGGCCGGUGGUGAGUGCAGGAGGUGAUUAGAGCAGGAUCUUAAACCUGCAGCCGGCCAACUGAAUCAUUAAAAACAACCUCAGAGGAAACAAUAGUAACACUCGUGAAACAAUUCAGAAACAGUAUAUUUUAAAGGAAGGGUUACAGUGCUUGACGUCGGGAAAUAG
rfam:Otolemur garnettii clone CH256-154N14, complete sequence.